GAAGGCAUGCUGCAACUGGAGAAACAGAGCGGACUUAAAAUCCGUUACAUUAGAAGCAUUAGUGGUUCGACUCCCUUUGCCUUCA
rnacentral:tRNA from 1 species